rnacentral:rRNA from 1 species
UACGUAGGCAGCGAGCGUUGUUCGGAGUUACUGGGCGUAAAGGGUGUGUAGGCGGUUGUUUAAGGUUGGUGUGAAAUCUCCCGGCUCAACUGGGAGGGUGCGCCGAAUACUGAGUGACUAGAGUGCGGGAGAGGAAAGUGGAAUUCCUGGUGUAGCGGUGAAAUGCGUAGAUAUCAGGAGGAACACCGGUGGUGUAGACGGCUUUCUGGACCGUAACUGACGCUGAGACACGAAAGCGUGGGUAGCAAACAGG